rnacentral:rRNA from 1 species
GACGAACGCUUGCGGCGUGCUUAACACAUGCAAGUCGAACGGAAAGGCCCUGCUUUUGUGGGGUGCUCGAGUGGCGAACGGGUGAGUAACACGUGAGUAACCUGCCCUUGACUUUGGGAUAACUUCAGGAAACUGGGGCUAAUACCGGAUAGGAGCUCCUGCUGCAUGGUGGGGGUUGGAAAGUUUCGGCGGUUGGGGAUGGACUCGCGGCUUAUCAGCUUGUUGGUGGGGUAGUGGCUUACCAAGGCUUUGACGGGUAGCCGGCCUGAGAGGGUGACCGGCCACAUUGGGACUGAGAUACGGCCCAGACUCCUACGGGAGGCAGCAGUGGGGAAUAUUGCACAAUGGGCGGAAGCCUGAUGCAGCAACGCCGCGUGCGGGAUGACGGCCUUCGGGUUGUAAACCGCUUUCGCCUGUGACGAAGCGUGAGUGACGGUAAUGGGUAAAGAAGCACCGGCUAACUACGUGCCAGCAGCCGCGGUGAUACGUAGGGUGCGAGCGUUGUCCGGAUUUAUUGGGCGUAAAGGGCUCGUAGGUGGUUGAUCGCGUCGGAAGUGUAAUCUUGGGGCUUAACCCUGAGCGUGCCUUCGAUACGGGUUGACUUGAGGAAGGUAGGGGAGAAUGGAAUUCCUGGUGGAGCGGUGGAAUGCGCAGAUAUCAGGAGGAACACCAGUGGCGAAGGCGGUUCUCUGGGCCUUUCCUGACGCUGAGGAGCGAAAGCGUGGGGAGCGAACAGGCUUAGAUACCCUGGUAGUCCACGCUGUAAACGGUGGGUACUAGGUGUGGGGUCCAUUCCACGGGUUCCGUGCCGUAGCUAACGCUUUAAGUACCCCGCCUGGGGAGUACGGCCGCAAGGCUAAAACUCAAAGGAAUUGACGGGGCCCCGCACAAGCGGCGGAGCAUGCGGAUUAAUUCGAUGCAACGCGUAGAACCUUACCUGGGUUUGACAUGGAUCGGGAGCGCUCAGAGAUGGGUGUGCCUCUUUUGGGGUCGGUUCACAGGUGGUGCAUGGCUGUCGUCAGCUCGUGUCGUGAGAUGUUGGGUUAAGUCCCGCAACGAGCGCAACCCUUGUUCACUGUUGCCAGCACGUUAUGGUGGGGACUCAGUGGAGACCGCCGGGGUCAACUCGGAGGAAGGUGGGGAUGACGUCAAGUCAUCAUGCCCCUUAUGUCCAGGGCUUCACGCAUGCUACAAUGGCUGGUACAGAGAGUGGCGAGCCUGUGAGGGUGAGCGAAUCUCGGAAAGCCGGUCUCAGUUCGGAUUGGGGUCUGCAACUCGACCUCAUGAAGUCGGAGUCGCUAGUAAUCGCAGAUCAGCAACGCUGCGGUGAAUACGUUCCCGGGGCU